rfam:Aedes albopictus isolate Foshan contig63406, whole genome shotgun sequence.
UAGCCUAGUGGUUAAGGCUAUGGAUCGCCAAUCUGGAGACAGCGGGUUCGAUUCCCGU